AAUAGAUACCCCGGUAGUCCACGCUGUAAACGAUGAGUGCUAAGUGUUAGAGGGUUUCCGCCCUUUAGUGCUGAAGUUAACGCAUUAAGCACUCCGCCUGGGGAGUACGGUCGCAAGACUGAAACUCAAAGGAAUUGACGGGGGCCCGCACAAGUGGUGGAGCAUGUGGUUUAAUUCGAAGCAACGCGAAGAACCUUACCAGGUCUUGACAUCCUCUGACAACCCUAGAGAUAGGGCUUUCCCUUCGGGGACAGAGUGACAGGUGGUGCAUGGUUGUCGUCAGCUCGUGUCGUGAGAUGUUGGGUUAAGUCCCGCAACGAGCGCAACCCUUGAUCUUAGUUGCCAGCAUUUAGUUGGGCACUCUAAGGUGACUGCCGGUGACAAACCGGAGGAAGGUGGGGAUGACGUCAAAUCAUCAUGCCCCUUAUGACCUGGGCUACACACGUGCUACAAUGGAUAGUACAAAGGGUUGCAAGACCGCGAGGUGGAGCUAAUCCCAUAAAACUAUUCUCAGUUCGGAUUGUAGGCUGC
rnacentral:rRNA from 1 species